rnacentral:rRNA from 1 species
CACCGCGGUUAUACGAGAGGCCCAAGUUGACAGACAACGGCGUAAAGCGUGGUUAAGGACAAUCCAAACUAAAGCCGAACACCCUCAGGACUGUUAUACGUUUCCGAGGAAAUGAAGCCCAACUACGAAAGUGGCUUUAUAAAACCUGAACCCACGAAAGCUAAGAAA